UACGUAGGGGGCAAGCGUUGACCGGAAUCAUUGGGCGUAAAGCGCGUGUAGGCGGUUCGGUAAGUCCGCUGUGAAAGUCGGGGGCUCAACCCUCGGAUGCCGGUGGAUACUGUCGGACUAGAGUACGGAAGAGGCGAGUGGAAUUCCUGGUGUAGCGGUGAAAUGCGCAGAUAUCAGGAGGAACACCAAUUGCGAAGGCAGCUCGCUGGGACGUUACUGACGCUGAGACGCGAAAGCGUGGGGAGCAAACAGG
rnacentral:rRNA from 1 species